rnacentral:rRNA from 1 species
UACGUAGGGUGCAAGCGUUAUCCGGAAUUAUUGGGCGUAAAGAGCUCGUAGGCGGUUUGUCGCGUCUGCUGUGAAAACUGGAGGCUCAACCUCCAGCCUGCAGUGGGUACGGGCAGACUAGAGUGCGGUAGGGGAGAUUGGAAUUCCUGGUGUAGCGGUGGAAUGCGCAGAUAUCAGGAGGAACACCGAUGGCGAAGGCAGCUCGCUGGGACGGUAUUGACGCUGAGACGCGAAAGCGUGGGGAGCAAACAGG